rnacentral:rRNA from 1 species
GACGAACGCUGGCGGCGUGCUUAACACAUGCAAGUCGAACGGUGAACGAGGGAGCUUGCUCCUCCGGGACAGGUGCCAACGGGGGAGUAACAAGUGAGCAAUCUGCCCCGAAAUCUGGGGUAAGCGUUGGAAAAGACGGCUAAUACCGGAUACGGAGCGGGGGGGCAACCUCUCCGCGUGGAAAGAACUUCGGUUCGGGAUGAGCUCGCGGCCUAUCAGCUUGUUGGUGAGGUAACGGCUCACCAAGGCGACGACGGGUAGCCGGCCUGAGAGGGUGACCGGCCACACUGGGACUGAGACACGGCCCAGACUCCUACGGGAGGCAGCAGUGGGGAAUAUUGCACAAUGGGCGCAAGCCUGAUGCAGCAACGCCGCGUGAGGGACGACGGCCUUCGGGUUGUAAACCUCUUUUAGCAGGGAAGAAGCGAAAGUGACGGUACCUGCAGAAAAAGCACCGGCUAACUACGUG